GUUGUUCCUGCAUGCGGGAGGCGUGACAGAGAGCUCAGGCUGGAGAACGGCCGAGCCAAGGCAACACUUGCGUUCGUGUAAAAGUCUUUAAGACCAGCGUUCAGGGGCCUUUCGGCGACUGGGGCUGAGGGACCUACAGCCUGACCUGCCAGAGGCGAAGACAACAGCAAGCACCUGCUGGGCUCGUAGAGACAGGGACUAAGGGCCCGUACACCCAACGCGCACACCGGUGGAGGGGUCGCAAGAAGGAGACGGAUGAGGUCAACGCUUUGUAUCUGCGACUCAGCCAGAUACAACCAGCAAACAUGACGCAGCGGCAUGACUUUGCUGUGCAGAGUCAAACUACUCACGAUGGAACAGCCUUACCUGGGGUCUCCGCAAGGUCACCUGCGUUAGGUGGGCAAUGGCAAUGAGGAAGCGUCGGGGGAGAACAACAGCUAAAGUAAGUCACGUUUCAAAUAGUGAAGCACUCAGCACCAGCAUCAGAAAGUUUCAAAUUAAAUGUAAAAAUGGACAUGGGCUCAAUGAAGACAAGCAGGAAGGUACGUUUGUAAAAACUGCCUUUGAGAUGACAAAGCUAAAACAUACACACACAUGCUUUUCACAAACGUGAGUCAGUUCCCAUUGGCCACUGGCAGUUUCCCAGGCACAGAAGACCCCGGGACACACACUGGACUGUCUCCUGACCAAGCACAACCCCCAGGCUUCAGACAGGAGGCUCUUCAUUUGAUCCCCUGGGUUUGAAAAAUCUCACCAGGCCACAGGGCCGGGGGCAUCCAGUGAUCGGGAAAUCAGCUAUGGUCUGACUUUACGGUCCCUCAGAACCACCAAUCACUGGAUGUGUUAACCCAACAACUCAGAGGCAUUCGGGGCUCAACAAAUCAACAGCAACGUCAACAAGAAGGGGUGGGUGUCAGUGACCCUCCCUGCCCUCUCCCAACAUUCCUGCUCAGCGUGGAGCUCGGCUGCACCAGGACCCGCCUACCUAUCUGGCUGGUGGCCACCACGUUCCUGUACUUGGGGUGCUGGUUCACCGUGAGGCAGAGGAUGUCGUCCGUGUGCUCCAGGUAGAAGCUCUGGCUCCCUGGGAGAGAGACGUGGAGGGUGAGCGGGGGAGCUGAAGACCUCAGGGCCAGCCCACAGCUCCGUGCGGCGUCUCUGGAAAUGCCCUGUGAAAUGAAUCAGCCCUGGGGAGACAGGAGAUCACUUUUCACAUGCACAUAGUCUGUUUCCGAUCUGAGAGAGGAGCUGGUGUCUUAUCUGACACACGUCAGCUCCAUUCGAUCCUUCCUGCUGUCCCGUGUGGGCCCAGAGCACAGUCCAAGUGCAGAGGCUUCCAGAGUCCAGAAUGAGGAGGCUGAUGGUCAAAGGGGCCACUGUACACUUACCCUCAUGCCUGGGAACGGAAGGUGAAUGAUGGCAUUGACAUACAAGGAAACAGCACAUCACUAUUAAAAUAGGAAUGAGAGGCUAGAAAAUGGAGAAAAUACACAGAAAGUUUCAAGCCCCGCCCCCCUACAAAAGACAAGCCACUACGUGCCCAGUGAUUUCACUGCCUAAAAACCUAUGCAUGGGCAACGACACCAAUUGGAAAGAACAUACAAAUUAAAAAGCAAAAAAAGGUUUUAAGAUAUGAAGCAAAUAAGGCAAAAUAUUAACAUCUAAGUCUGGUGGUAAAGCUAUAGGUGUCUAUUAAAUUAAUUUCGGAAGAAUUCUUUUUGCACUUUGUGUCUCUUUUUAAACUUUUUAAUGUAAGAGUCAUAUAGUUAAGUUUUGGGUAUUUUUGUUUAGUGUUUAAGUAUUCUCAUUCUCACUGUAAACCUAGCUACAUAGUCACAACAAGCAAAACUUGAAAAUCUGAGCUGCUAAAAAAUUGAUCACAGUUAAAAAUGAGAAAAGCUCCCUUAGGCCUUGUUCCUGGAAUCUCUCUAUUCCCCAUGCCCUCUUUCUGGCUUCUCUCCAUCCCUCUCAGCCUCCCGGGAGCUGAUAGCACCUUGGACACCUCUCCUGACCUUAACAUCUUUGGCCCUUCAAGCAUGAGCCUGCCGAUUUUCUAGGACUAAAGGAUACCAGUCUGGAAUAGAGGAAUGGCUUUAAAGGGAAGAGGAUGCUUUACGCUGUGGGGCACCUAAAGUGCGGGCACGUGCACAGAAAGGCUAAAACAAAGGCCUGUAGUCAGAGGUGGUUUCCCGGGGCCCGGUCACCUGUGGAGAGGUUCUGGACAACGCCGGCCGCCGCGGUGUGGAAGAUGAUGUCGGCACCCUCGUUCAGUGGCUGAGUUGGAUCAGACGAGCUCCUAAUUCAAUCUGACGCACAUGUAUUGUUGGCAGGGCCUCUGUGCCAGGCGUGAUGCUGGUUGGUGGGAAAUGAGAGUAAGAAGAGUUCUUUUGACCUUGGAUUACUGAAAUUUAAACCAAAUAAACAUUUUAAUAUCUAACAGAUAUUAAAGAUUAAAAAAAUCAUUUAACCAAGAGCAGUCCCAGGGCCAGUUGGGACAUCACUGGAUUCUACACAGGGUCACACAAUUCCCCACAAAGAGAAGACCACCGAAGAGGCUAACAAAAUGAAGGUAAAAGUUGUUGACAAAGAAUGGAUUUGCAGGCCAUUUUGAGGACAGAUUAAUUUACUUCAAUAUUAAGAGAAGCAGGCUAAGUAAAUUCACCCACCCAUCUACUCAUCUGUUUACUAACCUGCACUAGGCAGGUGGUGGUAACCAUGAUAGACAGUGCAGACCCUCAAGGAACCUAGUCUCAUGGGAAGUUUACAACCCAGUGGAGCUUUAAAUACCGUGAUGCUAUGGACCCAUACAUUAAGGAACUGAUAUUAAACCUUUCCCAUAUUUUUAACGGGAACAGUGUAAGGACUAAACCUUAAGGAUCAAAGAAGGAUAUUAAUUUGGGGGCUGAAAAAACAAACAAACAAAAUCCGGGUAACAUUUCUUUAUAAACCUAUGGUGUACAGCUGUCUUUACAGGACUUCCUUUUUGCUUAAGCUCAUAAACUUGCAUAAAUCAGUUUGGAAUGGAUAUGAGAUAGUAGGAGAAGAUAAUUCUUAGGGCCUUCCUGAGUCAGCUAUAAACACAGUUUCAGACAAAGUUUGGAAAGCCCUAGUGCUGGAGUAGAAUUUUGGGGUCAUUUCAUGGGAGAACCUGUGAAUUCACCCAUGUGGGGACUGUCAUUGUCUAUUUCCUUGGGACCCCGGGGACUUGGGAAAUUGACACUGCCUGAGGCAAUGCUGUUGGCUCCUGCCUUAUGUAACUGUAUCUGUAUCUUUCCAUACAUUCUACAAUUAAAGAGACAACAUAACGUCUAACUUUUGUACUGGCAUCUUUCCAUUAUUCACAUCACUGUCCUAUUGUGAUGAAGCAGAUUGGUGUCAGAAGUGAGAUUAAUGCCAAGGACUCCCUCACGCCCUUGCCAGAUGUAGUCAGCCAUUUUCCAGGUAAAUACUGGAUACCUGCUGAGAUUUUAAAUGUGAAAGAAAACCCAAGGGAGCUGAGUUUUUCUUUGAUUCUCAGGGAGCUAACACUUUUUGUAAACGCCACAGAUUCAGAACAAAAUAAAUAAAUAAAUAAAUAAAUAAAGGAGGACUGAAUAUGUCAAAGGCUUCAAAUGUUAGGAAGCAGUAAUAACAAAGUUGAUAUAAAACUCUGUUACUAACCUUUGCUUUAGAAAGUGGCCAAGAUGGAGACUGAUUUCACAUAAAAAAUUAACUGUGAGAAUUUCUACUUUAAAAUAUGUGCGCUAAAUAUUAUCCCUUAUAGUCAGCUGAACCUUGUAACUUUGUCAUUUAGGAAAAAAAAAAGAUAUUCAGAGGAUAGAAAUUAAAAAAUGAUUUUCUAAUUGUAUUAAGGACCCCCUUUCUGGAAAGCAAAUAGUCUUUAAUUAAGACGAAGCUUGAUUGAUAUAAGUGUAUCAAAAUAAUCAUUUCUUGAAACUUAUUUUUAGAAAAUGAUUGUGUUCAUAUUACACAGCCAGGCAAAACAGCUACAUAUCUAGACCAGAUUAUCCCAAAUAAAUUAAUGGCUGAAACUAUAAAAAUCAUAAUUUCUAAGGCAAACUACAUUAAACUCGUGCUAAGACAAUGCAAUUUAAGGGUUAAAAAACAACUUUUCUACUUCAGACUUUUUUUUUUGUUUUUGAAGAGAGGUGAUGACCUUCUCUAUCUGUGAUAAAUAGGAAAGGCGAGCAGCAAGCCCAAGGCCUUUCUAAGGAAGGAAAAAAUGCACAUCUGCUCAGUGUGGACUUUUGAGUUGUGCCCACAAGUUAUGCAGCUGCUGUAGUGAGAAGAUUGGGGUGGGGGGAGACCUAGGGUUUGAAUCUUUCCUCCUUUUAGUAAAAGGUAGGAAAUGCAAUAAUAAGUAAAAUAAUGUUUUAAAGAUGGUAUAGAAAUAGAAUGGAUAAAAAAAGAAAAAAGAAAUAGAAUGGAUUUCCCUGUUCAUCCCUGGAUAGAUAGCGGAAAGCGGAAAGCACUUGUUAAUAAAAGGCCUUGAAAAAAUAUAGGCUGUGGACUCAGGUGCACUGAGACAGCAACCUCUGAGCUAACUACUGCAUCCACUCAGAAAGAUAAAAGAUAGUGAAUGUGAUAUGCCGAUUUCCAUAAAAAUAGUUCAAUUUGUGUUAAUUUUGUAUCUUGUCAUUAUCAACUUAGUGUUCCUUUUCCUGAACACAAGCCCCAGGUUUCAAUGGAAUAUAUCAAAUCAAAAGCUCAGUUAUUUACUAUUCCCCAUGUAGAUGGUUAAUCUAAGCAGAUUGGUGAGGGGGAGAUGAGGGCCCUGUGUCAAACAGCAGAUAUUUAACAAUAAGUUACAAUCCAUGGCCCCACCAGGUCCAGCUAGAAAGACUGAUGUUGGUCAGCUCAUCUGGAUUUUAAUAAAAGGCCACAGCCUGCACUUGGGGAUAUUAUUAGAUCCUAUCUAUGAAUUAUUUUUGAAAUGCCUGGUGAUUCACCUCUGUGGUGAUCAUGCAGUUACACAGAAUGCAGAAUUGGGGUUGCAUGAUCAUUUCAUACAAGAAUAUAGGAUAUUGGCACUAAACAUGUCUAUGGUUGUAAAUUUCUAAUUUCUGAUUUUUGUUUCCUUAAUGUGAAAAUAAAAACCUCUGAAGAUGGGCUAAAGAUGUUUAAACAUUAUUUUGAAAAAUAUCUGGGACUAUCACCAUGUAAUGUGAAUAUAAAAUUUCAAUUACAAAAGUCAGACUUAGUGUGCUAGAGUCUUUUACAAUGUGAUGCCAGAGGCACCCCGACAGUGGGGUCAAGGCCAAGGUUCCUCAAAACUGUUCCACUUGAACUGGGUAAAGUUUUAUUGAUCUGGCUGUAUUCACUGGCAUUUUAGUUGAUUAUAUAUACACUGUUGUAAUACUGGGUGAUAAAUACCUGUGUAUAUUCAAAGGCUUUAUAAGUGAUAGUAGUUCCUGUUUAACAUUAAAAUGGCCUGAGGUUCUUUUCUGUGAUAACAACACCUGUUUCUAUUAGAAAAAGAAAAAAAAAAAAACCUCAAGGAGAAUGAGCUGGAUAUUUUCCACGCGCCCUUUCAUAUCUCCACUCUUCUGCUCUCCAAGGCCGCCUCUGGGGACUGCACCACU